AAAUAUAAGUUUUUAAGAAAAUUAUUUAAAAAUACACUCCGAAAGAAUACUCAUCUAUCCACAAAUAUUCUUGUUAUCCUAAUUUCAAAAUCACAAACCCAAACCUAUAAUAUUUCUCUAAAAAAUGAAAACUUUCCAAAAAUAGCUGUUUUUAAGAAAAUUAUUUAAAAAUACAACAUAUUGAUGAAAAAUUCUUAAAGAGUAUUCAUCUCUCCACAAAUAGUCUAGUUAUCCUAAUUUCUAAAUCACAAACCCAAAUCUACAAUAUUUAUCUAUAAAAUGAAAACUUACCAAAAAUAGCAGUUUUUAAGAAAAUUAUUUAAAAAUACAACACAUUGAUGAAAAAUUCUUAAAUAAUACUCAUCAAUCCACAAAUAUUCUUGUAUCCUAUUUUUUAAACCACAAACCCAAAUCUACAAUAUUUCUCAAAAAAAUGAAAACUUUCCAAAAAUAGCAUUUUUAAGAAAAUUAUUUAAAAAUACAACCUAUUGAUGAAAAAUUCUUAAAGAGUGUUCAUCUAUCCACAAAUAGUCUAGUUAUCCUAAGUUCUAAAUCAGAAACCCAAAUCUACAAUAUUUAUCUAUAAAAUGAAAACUUUCCAAAAAUAAGAGUUUUUAAGAAAAUUAUUUUAAAAUACAACUUGGUGAUGAAAUUUUUUAAAUGAAUACUCAAUUACCCCUAAAUAUUCUUGUUAUCUUAAUUUUUAAACCACAAACUCAAUUCUACUAUAUUUCUUUAAAUAAAUGAAAACUUUCCAAAAAUAGUAGUUUUUAAGAAAAUUA